CGAGACUCCUCGGGAGGCAGCAGUGGGGAAUAUUGCACAAUGGGCGCAAGCCUGAUGCAGCCAUGCCGCGUGUAUGAAGAAGGCCUUCGGGUUGUAAAGUACUUUCAGCAGUGAGGAAGUGGGUAUGUUAAUAGCAUACUCAUUUGACGUUAGCUGCAGAAGAAGCACCGGCUAACUCCGUGCCAGCAGCCGCGGUAAUACGGAGGGUGCGAGCGUUAAUCGGAAUUACUGGGCGUAAAGCGCAUGCAGGUGGUUUGUUAAGUCAGAUGUGAAAGCCCGGGGCUCAACCUCGGAAUUGCAUUUGAAACUGGCAAACUAGAGUACUGUAGAGGGGGUAGAAUUUCAGGUGUAGCGGUGAAAUGCGUAGAGAUCUGAAGGAAUACCGGUGGCGAAGGCGGCCCCCUGGACAGAUACUGACACUCAGAUGCGAAAGCGUGGGGAGCAAACAGGAUUAGAUACCCUGGUAG
rnacentral:rRNA from 1 species